CUGGUUGAUCCUGCCAGUAACAUAUGCUUGUCUCAAAGAUUAAGCCAUGCAGGUCUAAGUGCACACGGAAGGUACAGUGAAACUGCGAAUGGCUCAUUAAAUCAGUUAUGGUUCCUUUGAUCGCUCCACACGUUACUCGGAUAACUGUGGUAAUUCCAGAGCUAAUACAUGCAAACGAGCGCUGACCGGUCCUCUCUCGGGGGGGCCGGGAUGCGUGCAUUUAUCAGACCCAAAACCCACCCGGGGGGACCCGCGAGGGUUUCCCCCGGCCCUUUGGUGACUCUAGAUAACCUCGGGUCGAUCGCGCGCCCACCGCGGCGGCGACGUCUCAUUCGAAUGUCUGCCCUAUCAGCUGUCGAUGGUAGCAUAGGGGGCUACCAUGGUGACCACGGGUAACGGGGAAUCAGGGUUCGAUUCCGGAGAGGGAGCCUGAGAAAUGGCUACCACAUCCAAGGAAGGCAGCAGGCGCGCAAAUUACCCAUUACCGACACGGUGAGGUAGUGACGAAAAAUAACGAUGCAGGUCUCUUUCGAGGCCCUGUAAUCGGAAUGAACGUAUCCUAAACACAUGGGUGAGGACCCAUUGGAGGGCAAGUCUGGUGCCAGCAGCCGCGGUAAUUCCAGCUCCAAUAGCGUAUAUUAAAUUUGCUGCAGUUAAAAAGCUCGUAGUUGGACUUCGGGAGUGGGCUGGCGGUCCGCCGCGAGGCGAGCUACCGCCUGUCCCAGACCCUGCCUCCCGGCGCCCCCCGGAUGCCCUUGGUUGGGUGUCCG
rnacentral:ncRNA from 1 species